rnacentral:rRNA from 1 species
GACGAACGCUGGCGGCGUGCUUAACACAUGCAAGUCGAACGAGAGCGUAGAGAAAGCUUGCUUUUUCUACAAUCUAGUGGCAAACGGGUGAGUAACGCGUAAACAACCUGCCCUACGGAUGGGGACAACAGCUGGAAACGGCUGCUAAUACCGAAUACGUUCCGAAAGUCGCAUGACUAUCGGAAGAAAGGAUGGCCUCUAUUUAUAAGCUAUCGCCGGGGGUGGGGUUUGCGUCUGAUUAGCUAGUUGGAGGGGUAACGGCCCACCAAGGCGACGAUCAGUAGCCGGUCUGAGAGGAUGAACGGCCACAUUGGAACUGAGACACGGUCCAGACUCCUACGGGAGGCAGCAGUGGGGAAUCGUCCGCAAUGGGCGAAAGCCUGACGGAGCAACGCCGCGUGAGUGAAGACGGCCUUCGGGUUGUAAAGCUCUGUUAUACGGGACGAAUAAUCUUGUGGUUAAUACCCAUGAGAAGUGACGGUACCGUAAGAGAAAGCCACGGCUAACUACGUG